UACGGGGGGGGCAAGCGUUGUUCGGAAUUACUGGGCGUAAAGGGCUCGUAGGCGGCCAACUAAGUCAGACGUGAAAUCCCCUCGGCUUAACCGGGGAACUGCGUCUGAUACUGGGAUGGCUUGAAUCCGGGAGAGGGAUGCGGAAUUCCAGGUGUAGCGGUGAAAUGCGUAGAUAUCUGGAGGAACACCGGUGGCGAAGGCGGCAUCCUGGACCGGCAUUGACGCUGAGGAGCGAA
rnacentral:rRNA from 1 species